UGUCAGACAGGUAACACCCACAGGUACCCGUCCUGGAUCCCGAUCAGCUACAGGUGAGACAGGUAACACCCACAGGUGAGACAGGUAACACCCGCAGGUACCCGUCCUGGAUCCCGAUCAGCUGCAGGUGAGAGACAGGUGAGAUACAGGUGAGAUACAGGUAACACCCACAGGUGAGACAGGUAACACCCACAGGUACCCGUCCUGGAUCCCGAUCAGCUGCAGGUGAGACAGGUGAGAGACAGGUGUGUCAGACAGGUAACACCCACAGGUAACACCCGCAGGUACCCGUCCUGGAUCCCGA